rfam:Lactococcus raffinolactis 4877 genomic scaffold, Scaffold1544
AAAAAUCAUUGUUAGAUGAGGCUCCUAUACUGGAAAUAUGCUGCAGCCGCGAAAUGUCGAGAGACGCCAAGUUGGUUAAACAGAUGUGAUCGUGAAGGUCAAUGUCAAUGUAGCUAGAUUUUAUCUUACGCCGUAUAGUGCUAAAGUUCAACGAUAGGCCAAUGUA